rnacentral:rRNA from 1 species
GAUGAACGCUGGCGGAAUGCUUUACACAUGCAAGUCGAACGGCAGCACGGACUUCGGUCUGGUGGCGAGUGGCGAACGGGUGAGUAAUACAUCGGAACGUGCCCAAUCGUGGGGGAUAACGUAGCGAAAGCUACGCUAAUACCGCAUACGAUCUAAGGAUGAAAGCGGGGGAUCGCAAGACCUCGCGCGAUUGGAGCGGACGAUGGCAGAUUAGGUAGUUGGUAGGGUAAAGGCCUACCAAGCCGACGAUCUGUAGCUGGUCUGAGAGGAUGAUCAGCCACACUGGGACUGAGACACGGCCCAGACUCCUACGGGAGGCAGCAGUGGGGAAUUUUGGACAAUGGACGCAAGUCUGAUCCAGCCAUUCCGCGUGCAGGAUGAAGGCCCUCGGGUUGUAAACUGCUUUUGUACAGAACGAAAAGGCUCUGGUUAAUACCUAGGGCUCAUGUCGGUACUGUAAGAAUAAGCACCGGCUAACUACGUGCCAGCAGCCGCAGUAA